rnacentral:rRNA from 1 species
UACGAAGGGUGCUAGCGUUGUUCGGAAUCACUGGGCGUAAAGCGCGCGUAGGCGGCUUAACAAGUCAGAGGUGAAAGCCUGGAGCUUAACUCCAGAAUUGCCUUUGAAACUGUUAAGCUAGAGUGUCGGAGGGGAUGGCGGAAUUGCUAAUGUAGAGGUGAAAUUCGUAGAUAUUAGCAGGAACACCGGUGGCGAAGGCGGGUCUCUGGGCAAUAACUGACGCUGAGGAGCGAAAGCGUGGGGAGCGAACAGG